AGAGUUUGAUCAUGGCUCAGAAUGAACGCUGGCGGCGUGCUUAACACAUGCAAGUCGGACGAGAAAUCAUUAAGCUUGCUAAUGAGAGUAAAGUGGCGAACGGGUGAGUAACGCGUGGGUAAUCUACCUCUGAAUCGGGGAUAACAUUGCGAAAGCGAUGCUAAUACUGGAUAACAUCUUAGGGUUUUUGGAUUUUAGGAUCAAAGGUGGCCUCUACAAGUAAGCUACUGUUUGGAGAUGAGCCCGCGUACCAUUAGUUAGUUGGUAGGGUAAUGGCCUACCAAGGCUACGAUGGUUAGCUGGUCUGAGAGGAUGAUCAGCCACACUGGAACUGAUACACGGUCCAGACUCCUACGGGAGGCAGCAGUGAGGAAUUUUGCGCAAUGGGGGGAACCCUGACGCAGCAACGCCGUGUGAGUGAUGAAGGCCUUCGGGUCGUAAAGCUCUGUCAAGUGGGAAGAAUAUAUUUGGUGAUAAUAUUAUCAAGUAUUGACGGUACUGUUGGAGGAAGCACCGGCUAACUCCGUGCCAGCAGCCGCGGUAAUACGGAGGGUGCGAGCGUUAUUCGGAAUUAUUGGGCGUAAAGGGCGCGUAGGCGGUUUUUAAAGUCAGAUGUGAAAUCCCAGGGCUUAACCCUGGAAGUGCAUUUGAAACUUAGGGACUUGAGUAUGGGAGAGGGAAGUGGAAUUCCUGGUGUAGAGGUGAAAUUCGUAGAUAUCAGGAGGAACACCGGUGGCGAAGGCGACUUUCUGGACCGAUACUGACGCUGAGGCGCGAAGGCGUGGGGAGCAAACAGGAUUAGAUACCCUGGUAGUCCACGCAGUAAACGGUGAACACUAGGUGUAGCGGGUAUUUACCCCUGCUGUGCCGAAACUAACGCAUUAAGUGUUCCGCCUGGGGAGUACGGCCGCAAGGUUAAAACUCAAAUGAAUUGACGG
rnacentral:rRNA from 1 species